rnacentral:lncRNA from 1 species
CUGGGCGCUAAUGGCAAGGAAGCGGCAGAGCUCUCCUGGCCCAGCUCCCCACCGGACAGCCCAUUUGCACAGGCUGCUUUCUCCCCAGAGAACAUAUGCUCUGCACUCUGAAGAAGCAGCGCUGGAAGUUGGAGGAGAACGAAGAUGGUCAUGAUUGAAGGCUCUGCUAUGAGAGGAGACUCUGCCCACAGCAGGCUUUUCCUGGAUAAUUCUGAGCUCUGAUGGUCUGAACCGCACACUGGCUGAAGAACAGAAGGAAAGGCAGAAUCCUUUGCAGGAGAAAGCAAGAGACAUCGUAGAAAUGAACACAGAAACUAGACAAGCCAAGACUGGGCAGCCUCACUGGAAAGAGCUGACAGAAAAAAAGGAACAGAGCAGUUUUGGCAGAAGGCGCUGUGCAAAAGGGCUAGGUGGAGACUGGGGUGUGGGGAGAGGAAGCUGGGGUAGCGACAAGACCACUGUUUACAAGUCCCAAAAGGAAUGCUGAGGUAUGAGAGAGCCCUCUGAAUCACCUCUUCUUUUCCAAAAUGGAGUGUACUGAAUGAGACUCCCCUUCCC